rnacentral:rRNA from 1 species
CCUACGGGGGGCAGCAGUGGGGAAUAUUGCUCAAUGGGCGAAAGCCUGACGCAGCGACGCCGCGUGAGGGAUGAAGGUUUUCGGAUUGUAAACCUCUGUCAGCAGGGAAGAACGGUCACUGUGCUAAUCAGCAGUGACUUGACGGUACCUGCAAAGGAAGCACCGGCUAACUCCGUGCCAGCAGCCGCGGCAAUACGGAGGGUGCGAGCGUUAAUCGGAAUUGGUGGGCGUAAGGCGCUCGUAGGCGGUAUGGCAAGGCAGGGGUGAAAUCUCCGGGCUCAACGAUAGAACUGCCUUUGAAACUGGCAAACGGGAGUGUGUGAGAGGUAAGUGGAAUUCGAGGUGUAGGAGUGAAAUCCGUAGAUAUCAAGAGGAACA